CCUACGGGAGGCAGCAGUGGGGAAUAUUGCACAAUGGGCGAAAGCCUGAUGCAGCGACGCCGCGUGAGGGAUGACGGCCUUCGGGUUGUAAACCUCUUUCAGUAGGGAAGAAGCGAAAGUGACGGUACCUGCAGAAGAAGCGCCGGCUAACUACGUGCCAGCAGCCGCGGUAAUACGUAGGGCGCAAGCGUUAUCCGGAAUUAUUGGGCGUAAAGAGCUCGUAGGCGGUUUGUCGCGUCUGCCGUGAAAGUCCGGGGCUCAACUCCGGAUCUGCGGUGGGUACGGGCAGACUAGAGUGAUGUAGGGGAGACUGGAAUUCCUGGUGUAGCGGUGAAAUGCGCAGAUAUCAGGAGGAACACCGAUGGCGAAGGCAGGUCUCUGGGCAUUAACUGACGCUGAGGAGCGAAAGCAUGGGGAGCGAACAGGAUUAGAUACCCUGGUAGUCCAUGCCGUAAACGUUGGGCACUAGGUGUGGGGGACGAUUCCACGUUUUCCGCGCCGUAGCUAACGCAUUAAGUGCCCCGCCUGGGGNGGUACGGCCGCAGACGUAAACUACAANAGAGUGACG
rnacentral:rRNA from 1 species